GUGAGGGAGGGUGUGACUAGUGACAGUUAGGCAGGGAAGGGGUGACUAGUGACAGAGGGAGGGGUGACUAGGGACAGAGUGAGGGAGGUGGUGACUAGUGACAGUCACCACCUCCCUCACUCUGUCACUAGUCAUCACCUCCCUCCGUCACUGUGUCACCCCCUCCCUCACUCUGUCACCAGUCAUCCCCUUACUCUGUCACUAGUCACCCCUCCCUUCCCUCAC